AAAUGUCAUGAGCCAGUCACACUUAUGCAAUGUAGGCUAAGUGAUCUCAGCUAGCUGAGUGCACACAACGCACACAACACUAAACGCAAUGCACACAACACUAAAUACUUCAUCCAAACUAGCUAACCACUGUAGCUAGUAUUCCAUUAUAAUUAAAUCACAGUGGAUUAGUUUCCAUGCAACAGCUGCCUGUUUUAGCUGCCGAGUUAGUUAGGUGUCCUUAGCUAGCUAGUGAAUAUGUUAACGUUAGCUAGCUAGCUAAACAUUUAUUAUGGGCUGGCACUGGCAGUAUGGGUUUUUUGGUUAGUGAAUUCAACUGUUCAGAGCUGCUAUUACUCUUGGCUGGCAAACGGUAGACAAUCUUAUGUGUGUGUCCCUGCUCUAAUAAGGAUCUGUUAAACACAACCUCCAGGGUGUAAAUGCUGUCCGUGCCAGAUAUGGGUUGUGCCUGCAGAGAUGUGACCUGUGUGCCUGCCUGCCUGCCUGCUUGGACAGGUAAAUUGCCACUUUCACCCUAACAUUCCCCAGGGAGGAGGUUUCGAGUCCUCACCUGCUCAACACACUGUCAACCUCUCAGGCAGAAAAUAGUCCACCACUGUGUUUAAAAAAGAGGGAGUUUCCCCCCCUCCCCUUGUUCUAAUUCUCCAGUUCCGACCAUUCUUGGAAGGUAAGCUAACUUGUGCUGUGGAACAGUUGAGGGCUUGUAUGAAGGUUGACCAUAUGCCAAGAUUUGUCACCUGCUUGUUUGCAAAUGAGAAGGAGGCUUUUCCUAACUGGGCAAGCCCAGUUGAGAGACAAAUUGCAUGUUUAUGUGGCAUCAUAAUUCACUAAUUACCUGAUAGUGAAUUAUUAUUGAAUCACUUACUUUAUAUGCUUUUGAAUGAUUCACAAUGAGACAAAUGUUUUUCACAACCCAAUAUGAUGAGUUAAGUGGACAAUAUUUCAUAAUGUUGUUAGUUGUUAUAGAUUAAAGGUCCAAUGCAACCAUUUUUAUCUCAGUAUCAUAUAAUUUCUGGGUAACAAGUACCUUACUGUGAUUAUAAAUUAUAAAUAGCUUAGCAAGGAGCAAUUUCUCAAGCAAGAAUUUAGCUAGGACUGUCUGGGAGUGGUCUGAGUAGGGAGGGGAAAACGGAAAAUGUGCUGUGUUUGGCAGAGAGGUUUGGAACUUUCUUUCUUAUUUGUCUAAUAACAAAUGUACUACCUGGUGUUGUCAACAGGCAGGCCAAAACUCCAUCCCACAUAAACAGGCAAAAACUUCAGAAAGUCUUUUCAAACAUCUCUUACACUAAAAAGGCAUUAUCAUAAUUUUCACUAUGUCAGUAUUAUUUCAACCUCAUAGUGUGGACAUACACUGAAUAUACCAAACAUUAGGAACACCUUUCUAAUUUGGAGUUGCACCCUCCCCCCUUUUUGCCCUCAGAACUGGCUCAAUUCUUCGGGACAUGGAGUCUACAAGGUGUCGAAAGCAUUCCACAAGGAUGCUGGCCCAUGUUGACUCCAAUGCUUCUCAUAUUUGUGUCAAGUUUGCUGGAUGUCCUUUGGGUGGUGGACCAUUCUUGAUACACACGGAACACUGUUGAGUGUGAAAAACCCAGUAGCGUUGCAGUUCUUGACACACUCAAACCGGUGCGCCUGGCACCUACUACCAUACCCCGUUCAAAGACACUUAAAUAUAUAUUUUUUUGCCCAUGAUUGACACACAUACACAAUCCAUGUCUCAGUAUUCUCAAGGCUUACAAAUCCUUCUUUAACCCAUCUCUCCCACUUCAUAUACACCGAUUUCAGUGACGUAAGGGAUCAUAGCUUUCACCUCGAUUCAGCUGGUCAGUCUAUGUCAUGGAAAGAGCAGGUGAUCUUAAUGUUUUGUAUGCUCAGUGUAUAUAUAAAACACUAGGAAAUCAUGUUUUUGCUUGUACUCGGCCUUUAAUAUAACCAGAUUGUCUCACUGAAGUAUAACACUGUAUGAUCACACUUGAUUAUCUUUUUAGUUUAUUUUGGACAUUUCUGUAAAGGGCUGCUGUGAGAAGACCAAUAGCAUAGUUCCAGGCUGUUGACUGACUGCAAUAGUUAUAAACAGGAACUAUAAUCAGCACAGAGGAACUAACUUUCUGACAACUGAACUACUGAAAAUGGUCCAUAGAGCUAAAUCCACUCGCAUUGUUUCCAACUUGCAAGUUGCAACAGUGUACAAGAACUGCCAGAAAUAGAAUAACAGUGUCUCAAGCCCACCAGUGAUAUUACAACUAUUAAGAUUACAAUAUAUAUGAUAGCUGACUGUGUAGAUGUAUCUUACAUGUUCAAGACUGUGUAUAACGCUUGCUUUUGUCAGAUUGGUGAGAAGUAACAUGAAAAUGUGGACAGAAAAUUAUUAUUAACUUAUGUGGUAGCAUAAUUACAAGAUUAUGUUAUGUUUAUGCACCAAAUGGUUGUUUUAUGAAAUAAAGUAAGGUUCUUUAGGACUCUCUCUCUCCCUUUCUGAGUUAACUGAGAGGAGUCUUUUGAAGCUUGGGCUGGCAACUGUUAAAGAGAUGGUUUCCACUCUAGCUUCCUGCAGAUAGUCUGGGCGUAUGGUGAAGGAAAAUGGGUUUUGCUAGAGAUAGAUUGAGCUGACAAUGGCUUGGUGAUAAAAACCUAAACUUGGCAUUUCAUAGACAAGAUGUGGUGUGUGUGAUAGCCUGGAAGACUAGAACAAUGCUUCAUUGUCUAAUUUUCCUGGCAUCUGGGAAACUAAGCCGGGUUGGGGGUUAAACACCGUCCUGUGUAGAUAACCAAGGUGGCUUAUGGGAGUUGGAACCAGUCUGACUAAGCAUUUUAAGUUAAGCACUCGGCAACACACUUCAGAGUGUGGGGUCGACGGUUUCAUUAUUGCAAUAAUUAAUCGAUAUUAAAUAAAGAUGAUUGUUUGAAGAAA